rnacentral:rRNA from 1 species
GGGGUGAAGUCGUAACAAGGUAGCCGUACCGGAAGGUGCGGCUGGAUCACCUCCUUUCUAGGGAGA